AGCGAACGCUGGCGGCAGGCCUAACACAUGCAAGUCGAACGAAGUCUUCGGACUUAGUGGCGGACGGGUGAGUAACACGUGGGAACGUACCUUUUGGUUCGGAACAACUCAGGGAAACUUGAGCUAAUACCGGAUGAGCCCUUAGGGGGAAAGAUUUAUCGCCGAAAGAGCGGCCCGCGUUAGAUUAGCUAGUUGGUGAGGUAAAGGCUCACCAAGGCUACGAUCUAUAGCUGGUCUGAGAGGAUGAUCAGCCACACUGGGACUGAGACACGGCCCAGACUCCUACGGGAGGCAGCAGUGGGGAAUCUUGCGCAAUGGGCGAAAGCCUGACGCAGCCAUGCCGCGUGAAUGAUGAAGGACUUAGGAUUGUAAAAUUCUUUUACCAGGGACGAUAAUGACGGUACCUGGAGAAAAAGCCCCGGCUAACUCCGUGCCAGCCGCCGCAGUAA
rnacentral:rRNA from 1 species